rnacentral:lncRNA from 1 species
CCCUCGGCUGCGGGGUAGCGGGCAGCCCUGCGCUGCCGGCCGCCUAGCCUGCACCCCCCGCCCUGGGAGGGAAGCCUCGCUCCAGCCGCGUCGUUUCCGCGCCGAAGUGCGAUCCGGGGCCCCGCGCUGGAGUCCCCUGCUCUCAGGCUGGUGGCAGUUGCUGGAGUACCAGGGCACCAAGUGGAGGAUGUGGUAGACAGCCUCUAAGAUGCGCCCCCUGCCAAUGAUCUCUGCCUCCAGGGAGGAGCUAGAAGGCAGAGAGAAAGCCACUCAGGACUUCCCAUCCCAGAAGAUAAAGGUGAGGAAAGCAGCAGCAGCAGCCACAGGCCAGUAUUCCAGAGCAGCUUUGGGUUCCUGUCAAGACCUGCUUUGAGAAGGAGGUGGCUGUGGGGCUGGAGGGCUGGGCCUGUUCCUGAGCUGGCUGCUGGCAGCACAGCAAUGAGGCAACAUUGAGAACUGCGACACGAGGCCCAGUCCUGCUACUAAACCAACUGUGUGGACUUGCAUAGUCACUUCACCCCUCGGGCCUCCAUUUCUCCACUUUGGAAAGCAGUGUUGGGACGAUGUUAAGGG